GAAAGCAGGCGAGGUGAUCGCGACCGGCGCCCGCGUCGGUUGAGGAAAGUCCGGGCUCCCCAAUGGCCAGGCUUGCUGGGUAACGCCCAGUGCGGGUGACCGUGAGGAGAGUGCCACAGAAACACACCGCCGAUGGCCCUCUGGGCACAGGCAAGGGUGCAAAGGUGCGGUAAGAGCGCACCAGCAGCAUCGAGAGGUGCUGGCUCGGUAAACCCCGGCUAGGAGCAAGGCCCAGGGACAACGGUUGGCCAUGACACCCGUCCCGCUCAAAGCGCGCCGCUCGAGGCCACCGGUAACGGUGGUCCCAGACAGAUGAUCACCCCCGGUCCGGCAACCCCGGUCCGGUGAACAGAACCCGGCUUACGUCCUGCUUUCACCC
rnacentral:RNase_P_RNA from 1 species